GUGCUUGCUUCGGCAGCACAUAUACUAACAUUGAAACAACACAGAGAUUAGCAUGGCUCCCGCACAAGGAUGACAUGCAAAUUCGUGAAGCAUCCCAUAUUUUA
ensembl:snRNA U6 U6 spliceosomal RNA